AGGAUCCGAGUUGCCCUAUUUACAUAUAUAAGAGAACCCGCUGGUCAAGACAGCGGAUUCCAACUCCGAGAGGUUCUUCAAAGAAGAGCCAACACCACCAUUAUGUUUUUGGUAUUGUUUUGUGGAGAGAGUUCCAUAUGAUGCUUUUAUGCUUCUUUAUAGACUCACACAUACACAUAUCUAUAUAAUUAUAUACACAUGUCCCUUGUACUAUAACAAAAGUACCUGAUAUUCGAUUUGUUUUAUGAAUUAUAUAUCAUUUGAUUAUAUUUUACUCUCUAGCUCUCGAUUUGAAAAAAACAUUAUGGGUUGAGAAAUAGGGA